rnacentral:rRNA from 1 species
UACGUAGGGGGCGAGCGUUGUCCGGAUUCACUGGGCGUAAAGCGCGCGUAGGCGGCUCGUUAAGUCGGAUGUGAAAACCCGGGGCUCAACCCCGGGCCUGCACCCGAUACUGGCGAGCUGGAGGCAGGUAGGGGAGAUCGGAAUUCCCGGUGUAGCGGUGAAAUGCGCAGAUAUCGGGAGGAACACCGGUGGCGAAGGCGACUACCUGGCCUGUUCUUGACGCUGAGGCGCGAAAGCUAGGGGAGCAAACGGGG